rnacentral:sRNA from 1 species
UGUACAAUGGGCACGGUUCCUCAAGGGUGAUCGGCUCACCUCUUUCCCCAAAGAGGAAGGAGGUGAGAGCAUGGACGUAUAUCAGGCGUGAACGCACAUGAUGAUGUUUGGGUCGUUCGUCGCUUUGCUGAUGUCGUCCAACAAGCAUAAGUAGACCGCCCUUGAUGCCUGGAAACUGACAGGGCGGUCUUGCGCCGUGUGCCGGCCCCUUGCGGGGCAAGCUUAUUGUACACCGGCCGCAGGUGUUGGCAGCACCUGCG